rnacentral:tRNA from 1 species
UGCAUCGGCCGGGAAUCGAACCCGGGCCGCCCGAAUGGCAGGCGAGCAUUCUACCACUGAACCACCGAUGC